UACGUAGGGUGCAAGCGUUAAUCGGAAUUACUGGGCGUAAAGCGUGCGCAGGCGGUUGUGCAAGACAGAUGUGAAAUCCCCGGGCUCAACUUGGGAACUGCAUCCGAUACUGGAUGGCUUGAAUCCGGGAGAGGGAUGCAGAAUUCCAGGUGUAGCGGUGAAAUGCGUAGAGAUGUGGAGGAACACCGAUGGCGAAGGCAGCCCCCUGGGUCAAGAUUGACGCUCAUGCACGAAAGCGUGGGGAGCAAACAGG
rnacentral:rRNA from 1 species